rnacentral:rRNA from 1 species
CAUACCACCCUGAACAUGCCCAAUCUCGGCUGAUCUCAGAAGCUAAACAGGGUCGAGCCUGGUUAGUAUUUGGAUGGGAGAGACCAAAGAUAAAACUUAGCAAAAAAAAAAA